GGCGGCUAGGCCUCUCCGGAGCCUUAUUGCUGUGUGGCUGCUAUUCCUGAACGAGGACAUGGCGUCCCCAAGCCCACUGCUGGAGCCAAAGAACAACUUGAUAAAUCGGCUGGAGAAAAUUAAGACUGCUCCAAGUUAGUUCUCGUUUGUGAGUUCCCCAAGUGAGGCACUAUUUUUGAUAUCCUCUGUCUUCUGCAGCUGGCCUGAUGGCUGAACUUAAGGAGGAGUGGGAUUAUCUGGAUCCAGCUCGGAGAAGCUUGUAUAAAGACGUCAUGGUGGACAGUUAUGGAAACCUGGUCUCUCUGGGU